AUACGGAGGAUGCGAGCGUUAUCCGGAUUUAUUGGGUUUAAAGGGUGCGUAGGCUGUGCGUUAAGUCAGGGGUGAAAUGCCGUCGCUCAACGACGGAGCUGCCCUUGAUACUGGCGUGCUGGAGUACGGAUGCCGUUGGAGGAAUGAGUGGUGUAGCGGUGAAAUGCUUAGAUAUCACUCAGAACACCGAUUGCGAAGGCAUCUGACGAAUCCGUCACUGACGCUGAGGCACGAAAGCGUGGGGAUAGAACAGGAUUAGAUACCCUGGUAUUCCACGCCGUAAACGAUGAUGACUAACCGUCGGCGAUAGACAGCCGGUGGCCAAGCGAAAGCAAUAAGUGAUCCACCUGGGGAGUACGAUCGCAAGGUUGAAACUCAAAUGAAUUGGCGGGG
rnacentral:rRNA from 1 species